rnacentral:rRNA from 1 species
AACGAACGCUGGCGGCAUGCCUAACACAUGCCAGUCGAACGAGACCUUCGGGUCUAGUGGCGCACGGGUGCGUAACGCGUGGGAACCUGCCCUUAGGUUCGGAAUAACUCCCCGAAAGGGGUGCUAAUACCGGAUAAUGUCUUCGGACCAAAGAUUUAUCGCCUUUGGAUGGGCCCGCGUUGGAUUAGCUAGUUGGUAGGGUAAAAGCCUACCAAGGCGACGAUCCAUAGCUGGUCUGAGAGGAUGAUCAGCCACACUGGGACUGAGACACGGCCCAGACUCCUACGGGAGGAAGAAGUGGGGAAUAUUGGACAAUGGGCGAAAGCCUGAUCCAGCAAUGCCGCGUGAGUGAUGAAGGCCUUAGGGUUGUAAAGCUCUUUUACCCGGGAUGAUAAUGACAGUACCGGGAGAAUAAGCUCCGGCUAACUCCGUG